rnacentral:rRNA from 1 species
CGGACGGGUGAGUAACGCGGUGGGUACCUGCCCUGGUACACGCGGAUGACAUACCGAAAGGUAUGCUAAUACGAGAUAAAAUGCUUUUAUCGCAUGGUAGAAGUAUCAAAGCUUUUGCGGUACAGGAUGGACCCGCGUCUGAUUAGCUAGUUGGUAAGGUAACGGCUUACCAAGGCGACGAUCAGUAGCCGACCUGAGAGGGUGAUCGGCCACAUUGGAACUGAGACACGGUCCAAACUCCUACGGGAGGCAGCAGUGGGGAAUAUUGCACAAUGGGCGAAAGCCUGAUGCAGCAACGCCGCGUGAGCGAUGAAGGCCUUCGGGUCGUAAAGCUCUGUCCUCAAGGAAGAUAAUGACGGUACUUGAGGAGGAAGCCCCGGCUAACUACGUGCCAGCAGCCGCGGUAAUACGUAGGGGGCUAGCGUUAUCCGGAAUUACUGGGCGUAAAGGGUGCGUAGGUGGUUUCUUAAGUCAGAGGUGAAAGGCUACGGCUCAACCGUAGUAAGCCUUUGAAACUGGGGAACUUGAGUGCAGGAGAGGAGAGUGGAAUUCCUAGUGUAGCGGUGAAAUGCGUAGAUAUUAGGAGGAACACCAGUUGCGAAGGCGGCUCUCUGGACUGUAACUGACACUGAGGCACGAAAGCGUGGGGAGCAAACAGGAUUAGAUACCCUGGUAGUCCACGCCGUAAACGAUGAGUACUAGCUGUCGGAGGUUACCCCCUUCGGUGGCGCAGCUAACGCAUUAAGUACUCCGCCUGGGAAGUACGCUCGCAAG